rnacentral:rRNA from 1 species
UACGAAGGGGGCUAGCGUUGCUCGGAAUCACUGGGCGUAAAGGGCGCGUAGGCGGACAGUUUAGUCAGAGGUGAAAGCCCAGGGCUCAACCUUGGAAUUGCCUUUGAUACUGGCUGUCUUGAGUUCGGGAGAGGUGAGUGGAAUGCCGAGUGUAGAGGUGAAAUUCGUAGAUAUUCGCAAGAACACCAGUGGCGAAGGCGGCUCACUGGCCCGAUACUGACGCUGAGGCACGAAAGCGUGGGGAGCAAACAGG